GUGGAUUAGAUACCCGGGUAGUCCUAGCUGUAAACGAUGAAUACUGGGUGUUUGCGGUAAUACCGUAAGCGCCGAAGCUAACGCAUUAAGUAUUCCGCCUGGGGAGUACGGUCGCAAGACUAAAACUCAAAGGAAUUGACGGGGACCCGCACAAGCGGUGGAGCAUGUGGUUUAAUUCGAUGCAACGCGAGGAACCUUACCAGGUCUUGGAUCCACUAAAGAUUUCAGAGAUGAGAUUGUGCCUCUUAUGAGGAAUAGUGAGACAGGUGGUGCACGGCCGUCGCCAACU
rnacentral:rRNA from 1 species